rnacentral:rRNA from 1 species
GACGAAGGAUGCAAGCGUUAUCCGGAUUCAUUGGGUUUAAAGGGAGCGUAGGCGGCCUUAUAAGUCAGUGGUGAAAUCUCCGAGCUUAACUCGGAAAUUGCCAUUGAUACUGUAGGGCUUGAGUACAGUUGCUGUGGGCGGAAUAUGACAUGUAGUGGUGAAAUACAUAGAGAUGUCAUAGAACACCGAUUGCGAAGGCAGCUCACAAAACUGUAACUGACGCUGAGGCUCGAAAGUGCGGGGAUCAAACAGG